GGUCGAUCCAGUCUGAGAGUCACAGUCCGGGCUCCUCCACAAAUCAUGGAGUCAACCAGAAUGAAACUCAUGUGUACGACUCUCUUCAACAUGGUACUGCUGACGUCUAUGAAUCAGUCACACAAGUGACAAACAGAAAUGGAGCAGAUGAAUAUGAAAACGUCCCCUCUUCUCUUAUUAAGUUUAAAGAUCUUAGAAGAAAGAGGCAACACGACACACCAGAGGAGAGUGCUGUUUACUACAAUGAAGAUGGGAUGCAGGUACAGAGGUUUGUCUGAGGGUUGCACCUCCUAAACAGUCAAUAAGGAAGCCACAGAUGGGACAGGCACGAGGUGCAGCCAGUGACCCCAUUAAACUGAUGUUUUACUGUCCUUAUUUUCCUCGAGUUUUUGGUUCUGUUAUUAGUUACCUAACAUAAACUAAUGUGAGUCUUUUGACUGAAACUAACCAACCAACCAAGUGAUGUCAUGCUCUGUACUGACAGAAUAUGGCGAUACAUGUGUUUUUAUACCUUUAAGCAAUAAUUUCUUAAAUCCAGCUUCACAGUCAGAGUUACAUUUGUGUCAGUUUUUGAGAGCUGGGCUCCAUGAUGUAAAUGAGCCUUUAUACAUGUAGUGUUUCAUGUCCCCUUUAAUGCUGAACACCUUAUGUGACAUUUUCACACAACAGUACUUCUGCUCAGAGUUGAUUUUUCUUUUGCAUGUUUGCCAUCCUCCAUCUUCCACUUUUACUGAUUUGGUUCAUGUAAACAUUUCUGAUGGUUUCAUGUUCAUCAAAAAUAUUUUAAUCUGCAGUUUCAAGUCUUAGAGAUUACACUCACUUUACAUUCACAGACUCGAAGUUGUUGCUGUUCCUGGGAGACAUUUCUCUUUUGUUCUGGUAUCAAAUUGCUUCGUGUUUGCUGAGUUUCAAGCUCUUUCUGUUCACCUGUCAAACUGUUGCUCAUGUUUCCAGAGCAGCUUUUCUUCUGCUCAGAUUAAAAAUUUACAGUCAUUUCUGUUUUGUCGAUUUGCCAAAUUGUUGCUCAGUUGUUGAGAAUCACUUGUUUUCUGUUCUGUUGCCAAACUGUCUGUCAGUUUCCUAUACACAUUAAUUUGCUCUUGUUCAGUUGCCAAGUUGCUGCUCAGUUGCUUUGAAUCGAAGUUCAUCUCAUUUGACAAGUUGCAUUGCAGUUUUGGAAAAAAAAAAAACUCCUCUGUUGAGUUUCCAAACUGUCUUUCAGAAUAAUUUAUUCUCAGUUUUCUGCUCAGACUUUGUCUCAGACAUCUGAUUUUCUCUUCUUCUGUUCAGAUUUAAUCAUCUUCUGCUCAGUUGUCUAAAGUCAAGACUGUGUCAGGGUUCCUGGGUGGUUCACCUGGUGUUUUCAGUUCAUGUUCAGUUUAUGUUCCACAUUCAUGUUUCCCGCUUCACCGUGCCAGCCCUCUGUCUCAGUGUCAUUAGCUCUACGUCCUGUUUCAUUAUGUUCAACUGUGUUCUCACUGGUCCCCAAUCAUCAUCAUUAGCCAGUGUACUUAAGUCCUCAGUUUCAUCCUGGUCUUUGUCGUGUCAUUGAUGUUAAUGUUGUCUACUCUGCACGUGUGUUCAGUUAAGCCAGUCCUCUUAUGUUCAGCUCAUCUGCUCGUCAUAAUAAACACCAGCCUUCAGCUACCUGUGAGUCUAGCGUUUGGGUCGUCCUUUCCUCGCAUCCACACACGACACCCCUGACAGAAUGACACGACCCUGCGU